AGCGCGUGCCUUAGCGCGUGCCUAAGCGCGUGACUGUCUGGAUUGUGCUUCCGUAGACCGUUUUCCUCGGUUAGGAUUUAACGUGGCGGCCCCCUUUCCGGAGAUCGUAGAAGUGACCUGUGAUGGAAAAAUCUAGUACUGGCCAGCCUAUGGGCCUGUAAUGAGAAGAGACUGGACCCGGAAUUAGCUGUCCAGACCUGCCAGAUGAGCAGAAGCAGGCUGGACUGGAUGGGAUUGUGAAAAACAAACUUCAGGAAUCCAGAGACUGUGGGAGUGCUGUUUUCUUUCAGGGCCAGCAGAUUUCCUCAGAUGUUACUGGGCUGCUCUUUGGAAACCAGCCUCAUUAAUCCUGCUCUGAUGCCAAGAGGUAGCCCAGCAGCUCACACCUUGCCUUGCCCUGAGCCACUUUCUGUUCUGGCCAUCUCUGACGCCUUAUGCCGAAGCUGAUGUGGCUCAGCACCAAGUUCAGGCACCAAGAAGGUGCUUGUUAACUGGCAGUGUGGGAAAGGUCUCCUCUCUUUCACUGUCUGUAUAACGUUACUUCUUUCCCGGGCAGGGGUUAAUUUGUUGAAAAUGUGUGGAAGAGUUUUCACAGUUGGGGUGGGGGAAACGCGCCAAAUAGAAAUAUGAACUCUUCUAAGGUGCAUUCAGAGACACUUCUAACCUCCAGUUUCAUAGAAACCUCGGGCUCCUCUGUUGCUGUAUUAGCACGGGUUUUAUCCAGAAGGAGGCAUCACAGAACCUGAAUUUCAUUCACCGAAGGUUAAAAGGAAAUCCACAUUUCUUUGUGAUUGGAAACUAAAGUGUGUAGUCUUUAGAGGGCAUGUUUAAAGGCUCUUUGGUUAUCCCUGUAAUUGGUGAAAUUACUUUAAAGCUGUGAAAGAGGGGGGUGGUGAUAGUUUCCUACUCAGUGAAAACCUGAAGCCUGAGAUACUUAGAGAAACCUGUCCUAGGCGCAUGUGCCUUCACCAAGUGACAUGACGAUGAUCAAAACUGGCUUAUUUCCUAGUCAAAACAGUUGUGAAACUUGAGGAUAACCGUGAGGCCUUCCUCCCCUUCCAUACACACUUGUUCCCACUGCCCAUCAAAGUGAUCCUGGCUGACUUCGUUGGAGGCAGGGGUCAAGAAAACCUAAAUGGAUGGUUUAAUAGGUAAAUCUGCUGUGUUUUGGCACUUAAAAAUAAGUCACAAGGUUGAGGAUUCCAAAAAGGUGACUCGCCACCUGGUGACAGUCUCACAAAUCAGGGCUCUCAUGGAAAGAGAAGGUAAUCCUCUUCUGAAUUUGAGGUGGAAUCUGGCUUGCUGGUUCCUUCCCAGGAAUUCAUUCCUAGGCCAGCCAUGUCACUUAGGCUCAUGAGACAGCACCUCAGUGAAUGUCUACUCACUCGUGGGAAUGUUAGUGUUCUAUAAAUUCUUGGUGGGAGGUAUUCCUUUGGAUACAUACCACAAGUGGGAUUGCUGGACUAGAUGGUAGUUCUGCUUUUAAGUUUUUGAGGGACUUUCAUACUGUUUUCCAUAGUAGCUGUACCAAUUUAACCUUGAACUAAAUGAGUUUCGUGAGCGGUGGUUAGGCCACUCUUGAUUGUCGGUUCUUUUCAGGAGAAGUACUGUAGAGAUUAGAGGCUCAGAGGGGAACGCACUUCCCUGAUCAGGAAAGGUGGAGUGACUGACUACAUAAGGACCUUCGUUGGGGUGCCUAAAGCCUAGAGGUGGGGAAGGGGCUGGGAAGAGUGACCCUCUAUGGAGCUGCUCUCAGAGCACAAGGAGAAAGCUGGACAGGAGGACAUAGGCCCUCAGUGUGAAAGGUGCAUCAGGCUUUCUGUGGUCCAAGGUGUCUGCUACCUAUUUCUCAACCCCUGGUACUGCCUGGGAUCACUGCAGCACGGGGACUGAAGGUAAUAGUGCACAUCGCUGAGUGUGACAUGAGAGUGGAUUACUUCCUGGCCAAGGGGAGACUUUGACGAUGAAGGCUUUACCCUUUGCUACAGCCUUCCUCAGAAUUUUGGACUUCGCUGUUAGAGAUGUUCUUGUGUUCCUGCUUCCGUCUGUGCACUGCCUUAGGCUGUCGAAAGCGGCUCAGGAAAGGUGACCUUUCCCCCUGCUAUACUGUGGCCUAGGGCAGUAAUCUGGGGGAGUCUCCUGGGAGGCGCCCACUGAUGUUGACUGCACUUGUUUGCGUAGACCGCUCAACUCUUCUGUUGGGACUACCUGUGGCCAUGAAGAGGCACGUGAAAGUGAGCUGCUGUUGCUGCUGUGUUCUCCUGAUAUGGCAGCCAGACACUUCUUCCUUCAACACCCACACACCUCAGGUGCCUUGCUCAAGUCCUAAGGCAGGCGCAUAUUGGCAAUGGCAGCAUGUGGGGCAUGGGAGAUGUUGAGUCUGGGGCAGAAGUUGGCCGUAGCCCGAUGUCAGAAUUCUGUGCCAUUGUGCAGAGCGAGGGCACAUUGGGAUUCCCGAGGAGUCCCAAGUCUGUAGGAAUGUGGUUGGAACUUUCCACGUUCGCUUUCUGCACUCUUCCACUGGGCACGCUCUGCACGUUGGUUGGAAGAAAGAGGUCCGAUGGGUCUCGUCAAUGAACUGUCCAUGAAUCGGGGGCCAUUUGCUUCUUUCGGGGCAUAUGCCGAUGAGCCUGGAUAUCCAUCCAGGAACCUCCCGAAUCAGUGCCCCCGCGGGAUGGUGAAGCCCUUGUAUUCCUCUUGCUGGAGAGGGCUACACCCCCAGGCUGUACUGUCUCUCCCCACUGUGUAUCUGCUGGAAAGGCUUUCUAGCAGAAAGGCUGGCUACUGGUGGCUCCUCUUCCGUUUUGGUCUUGGUGGUUGGGGUGACAAGGCCUCAAUGGGACCUUCUCUGCACUCUCGAGGAAAAAGGUGGUGUUGGUAAACAGUAGAGGGACAGUUCUGCAUUGUCUGUGGUG